UUUCAACAGACUGGUAAAGUGUGCUCUGACACUUUCUACAAGAGCUUCAUGGAGUGGGUGAUUGUCUCUGACAUGGUGGACAGGUUGUGUUUGGAGGAGCCAUUUACCUGUCCAGCCUGUACUCCACAAACGUUAGCUGUGUCUGUGGAUGGAAACCGGAAGCUUUACCGCUUCAGAAAGGAUGCACACCAACAAUUUGGGCGUUCAUGUUCUCUAGCUCUGAUGGAAAGGGUUACUUUGAAGGUGUGCUUCUCUGUCCAGAUGAUGAGGUAGCAGCGUUUGUGGAAGACAUACAAAAGAGGGCAAAGCAUGUACCAGGAAAAGGGGUCUGUGGCAAAUCUCUACUGAAAGCAGCCAAAGAGACCUCAAACCAGAGAAAUAGCUCCAACCUUGAUGAGCAGGUAAAUGUUUUAAAGUUUCUG